rnacentral:sRNA from 1 species
ACGCGAUACACCGCCAACCAGUUGCUCUU